rfam:Erythranthe guttata cultivar DTN x IM62 scaffold_566_contig_3, whole genome shotgun sequence.
GGGUGCGAUCAUACCAGCACUAAUGCACCGGAUCCCAUCAGAACUCCGAAGUUGAGCGUGCUUGGGCGAGAGUAGUACUAGGAUGGGUGACCCCCUGGGAAGUCCUCGUGUUGCACCCC